UUAGGGUUUCAUACGAUCAAACACCAAACCAUGCUCAUCCAGACAUCCAGUCGUUCUGAAUUCCGCCACCACCACCACCACCGUAUCACUACCACCGCCAUCGCCAAACCGUACCAUCAAACCGUCGUUCUCACUUUCAAGCACCAAAUUGUCAUUCUCAUUCCAGAUCUAUCUCAAACUGUCGUUCGAAUCAAAGCUUGUUUCGGAAUCUGUUUUCAUAAUGAAGAGAAAAUUAAAGGAGUUUUUGCAAUGGCAAUGACGAUGUGUAAGGAAUCUAUGAUUCGAUGCGCUUUUCUGCUGCUGUUUAGUAUUUAUGUUGAUUUUGGCAGUUUUUGUCACUGUUUCCGGUGAGAAAAGUGGUGAUUCGAAUCUCAGUGUUGUUGAAAUAGAAGACUUUCAGAUGUCGAACAACACCUCGUCAUUAACAGCAAGGUGUAGGUAUUAUCAAAAAUGAAAAUUGGACCGUCAUCAUUAGCUUUGCUUGGUAAGACUGCUCUAAUGGUUAAAUGUGUCCAAAAGUGAGAACAAGAACUGGACAUAUGAGAAGGCAAAAUUUCUAAUUUCAGUCAAUUGAGAUGAGCCAAUCAGUGGGUUGUGUGAUAUAUGCUGAUAUGCAGAUUGAUUGGGUUGUCUCUGUUUUUUAGUAGAUACCCUGUCUGUUGACAAAUGAGUUUUCUUGACAUAGAAUUAAUGAAAAGUAUUUGGAUUAUCUGGAAGUGUUGAAGUUGCUCAAAAACAGGUCUCUGCUGGUAAGACUUUUAUAGGUUGAUAAUUGCAUUUCAGCGUUUAAUAUUGAUGGAGAAACUGGUCUUACUCUAUGUGAGGUUUGUUUAUAUAAAUUGUAAACUGGUUUAUCAAAGUUGUCCCGAGAGGCAUACCAACAUUCUCUUUAGUAAGUUUACUAGUUUAGUAUGUUAAAAAGUUAUGUACAAAAGC